rnacentral:rRNA from 1 species
GAUGAACGCUGGCGGCGUGCCUAAUACAUGCAAGUCGAGCGAACAGACGAGGAGCUUGCUCCUCUGACGUUAGCGGCGGACGGGUGAGUAACACGUGGAUAACCUACCUAUAAGACUGGGAUAACUUCGGGAAACCGGAGCUAAUACCGGAUAAUAUAUUGAACCGCAUGGUUCAAUAGUGAAAGACGGUUUUGCUGUCACUUAUAGCUGGAUCCGCGCCGCAUUAGCUAGUUGGUAAGGUAACGGCUUACCAAGGCAACGAUGCGUAGCCGACCUGAGAGGGUGAUCGGCCACACUGGAACUGAGACACGGUCCAGACUCCUACGGGAGGCAGCAGUAGGGAAUCUUCCGCAAUGGGCGAAAGCCUGACGGAGCAACGCCGCGUGAGUGAUGAAGGUCUUCGGAUCGUAAAACUCUGUUAUUAGGGAAGAAAAAAUGUGUAAGUAACUAUGCACGUCUUGACGGUACCUAAUCAGAAAGCCACGGCUAACUACGUG